rnacentral:tRNA from 1 species
GCCGGGGUGGCGAAAUUGGUAGACGCACGGGAUUCAAAAUCCCGCGAGCGCAAGUUCAUGUCGGUUCGAGUCCGACCCUCGGCACCA